rnacentral:rRNA from 1 species
GACAGAGGUGCCAAGCGUUAGGCGGAAUCACUGGGCUUAAAGCGUGUGUAGGCGGGCCCGUAAGUGUCUUGUGAAAUCCCACGGCUCAACCGUGGAACUGCUGGGCAUACUGCGGGUCUUGGGCCAACUAGGGGCAGCCGGAACAAGCGGUGGAGCGGUGAAAUGCGUAGAUAUCGCUUGGAACGCCGAAGAUGAAAACAGGCUGCUGGGGUUGCGCCGACGCUGAGACACGAAAGCCAGGGGAGCAAACGGG